UUUUCAAAAUAAAAAAAAAAAAAUCCAAUAAAUAGCAUAGAAAGUAUCAAACUAGUCUUGAAUUCUGUCACUUGAAAAUUCCAACAACCCCCUUCCUACAAAUUCAUGUGAAUCUUCCUCAUUACAGCUCUUCUUCUUACAUGAAAUAUCUUGUUGAAAAGCUAAUAAUAAGAUCCAGCUUCCUUCAAAAUUUUAAAAUAAAAAGAUAAAAAUUCAAAAUAUAUAAUAAAAAAUCUCAAAUCAGUCUUGAAUCUAGUCACCCAAAAAUUCCAGCAACCCCUUUCUUACGAAUUUGCUAGAAUCUUCUUCUUUAUAGCUCUAUUUUUUAUAUGCUAUAGCUUCUUUAAAAGCUAACAAUGCAAUCUAACUUCUUCUAAAAUUUCAGAAUAAAAAGAUGAAAAUUCCAUAAGUGGCCUUCCAAAUCCCAAACUAGGCUUGAAUCUCACUUCUCCCCCCCCCC
rnacentral:lncRNA from 1 species